rnacentral:lncRNA from 1 species
ACUAAAAGCAUUAUUUGGUUCGGGAGCUAGGGACGUCUUUCAUCGUUUGGGCUAUGGACUAGGCCACCUCCUCAACUCUGCCUGCCAACUAGUGGGUCAACUGCUUCAGGUGAAACAAAUGUCCAUCUAUCAUCUGAACUUGCAGCAAUACAUCUUCAAUGAAUUGAGGGAUGUCAUAAGAUAUAGGUUCUGUGUGCUCUUUCUUUUUGUUGUACACUUAUAUUUCUGGGCACAAGUGGUCCAGAAGGGGCAAAGCAUGGGACAUUAUCCUGAAGAUGGAACAAUCCCAUGUCAUCUAAGGAGCCCAAAUCUAGUGGAGUUUGUGGGCAAGCAACACGCAAGUUAGUU